AGCAGUUGGUGCCUCCUAUUGGUGGCAGUUCCUUCUCCAGGAUCCUGUAAACCAGAGGCUAUGUCAGGAGCUAAGGACAUGAUGGCCAAGAAGAACUAUGCACAGGACAAACAAGCAGGAGACAGGGUUCUGGGAGAGAAGGUGAGCUCACUUCUGCAGAUGACUCUACUCACUGGCCACACCAUGCUCUAUAAACACCCUGCACCAUCUGUGAUGUCAGCUGCCAGCUGCCUGGAGAAUCUGCCCUGCUCUGGGAGCUUGUAUUAAAACACUCACUUAUAACUCCCUAUUAAUUUUUCACGAGGAGUUAUUUUUAACUUGCUCAAACCAUUGUCUGAAUAUGCCAAAUAUAUUUUCU
rnacentral:lncRNA from 1 species